CGCCGCGUGAGGGAUGAAGGCCUCUGGGCUGUAAACCUCUUUUAUCAAGGAAGAAGAUCUGACGGUACUUGAUGAAUAAGCCACGGCUAAUUCCGUGCCAGCAGCCGCGGUAAUACGGGAGUGGCAAGCGUUAUCCGGAAUUAUUGGGCGUAAAGCGUCCGCAGGCGGCCCUUCAAGUCUGCUGUUAAAAAGUGGAGCUUAACUCCAUCAUGGCAGUGGAAACUGUUGGGCUUGAGUGUGGUAGGGGCAGAGGGAAUUCCCGGUGUAGCGGUGAAAUGCGUAGAUAUCGGGAAGAACACCAGUGGCGAAGGCGCUCUGCUGGGCCAUCACUGACGCUCAUGGACGAAAGCCAGGGGAGCGAAAGGGAUUAGAUACCCCUGUAGUCCUGGCCGUAAACGAUGAACACUAGGUGUCGGGGGAAUCGACCCCUUCGGUGUCGUAGCCAACGCGUUAAGUGUUCCGCCUGGGGAGUACGCACGCAAGUGUGAAACU
rnacentral:rRNA from 1 species